ACCUGAGUUUAGGAGAGACAGGGAUGAUACAGUCCAUGCUGCACCCAAGGCCUGAGGUGUCUGCAGGUGUUUCUGCCCCUCACCUGGCCACCCACCUUGGUACCCUGUAAGUCCCUUGUUCAUGACUGCUCAAGACUCAGCUCCAAGACUGCCUCCCCUAAAUGAGGCCCAGUUGGCUCAGGAAGAUCAGAGUGUGAACAGAAAAUAGGUUCAGAGUUCCUAGCCCUAACAGGCCCUCAUUACAUAGCAGACCCUGGAGGUUCAGAAGAGCUCUAGUUCUAAGGUUACCUCAUGUAUGUUAAUUAUCAGUUAAAAUACAUCUGGAGAUGGGCACAUUUCUAAAUAGAACAGAUGUGAACAGCCUCUUAAUGGAAAUAAGAGAGCAGAAGACAAGAGUCCUGCUGAUCUGUCAUACCAGCUCCCUCUCAGCCUGUAUCAUACAAUGAAUCCUAGAUACUGUGCCUGUGGGGACCCCAAGGUAGCUCCAUGUAUGCCCCGCCCAGAGCCCUAAGUGAGCUGGCAAGCAAGAGGUUGUGAUGUAGAGGAAGGCUGUGAGAAUGCCCAGCUGUGGGUAACCAGAUGUCCCAAGGUAACACGUCUACCAUGUCUGUCCACUCAUCUAUGCCACGUAGGCUGGAGCAGGUGGUGCCUCUCAAGACACAGAACUAUGGAGAGGUCCCAGGCAAGUCUAAAGGGUUGCUUUGUCACAACAGAGGUAAACUGAGGAAGCAGCAGGAAACUGAGCCACACAGGCAGGUAGCAGAGGCAAGAAGGUGACUCCAAGAAGAGGAUCCCAGCAGAGGCCUCCCGCCCAACCCCUCCAUUAAGCCAGGCAGCAUGCACGAAGUUAAAGGUUCCACUGAGCUCAGUCAGCGCUCUCACCUGUCAAUCCAAGGUCCUGCUCUUCCAAGUCUUUAUCUAAGGACGCGAUAUUUAUGUCACUAAGAUGGAGAUCUAAUGCAGAACCUGUAAGAUAAACCUGGUGUUACCCACUCACCUCUCACCCAGCAAUGACACAAAACCUCUUAGGAGGAAUCCCUGACCCCAUAUCCACCAACACCCACCUAGCUAGAGCCAAAGUGCCCCUGGCAACCCACUGCAGCACCUGCCUCUGCCUUCUCCUCCACAGCCAGAGUGCAUCAUCUGAACAGCCCUGGCUGCACUCAGAGACACAGCCCUGGCCCACAAACCUCCUCCUUCCUAGGUGUUGUUUUGUUUCGUUCUGUUGGUUUGCUUUUUGUUUCUUUGAGAUAGGAUCUCAUGUAGCUCAUGACUGUCUUCAACUCACUAUGCGGCCAAGGGCAACCUGAACUUCUGAUCCUCUUGUCCUCCACCUCCCAAGUUCUGGGAUCAUACAGGAAUGUACCCGAUGCCCACCUUUGUCUCCUUUACUUCUAACCACUUGUUAAAAUUUGACCAAGAAAAUACAUUCAACUAUUAAAAAUUU